UACAGAGGUCCCGAGCGUUGUUCGGAUUCACUGGGCGUAAAGGGUGCGUAGGUGGUCGGGUAAGUCUGAGGUGAAAUCUCCGAGCCCAACUCGGAAACUGCCUUGGAUACUAUUCGGCUAGAGGGUUGGAGGGGGGACUGGAAUUCUCGGUGUAGCAGUGAAAUGCGUAGAUAUCGAGAGGAACACCAGUGGCGAAGGCGAGUCCCUGGACAACUCCUGACACUGAGGCACGAAAGCUAGGGGAGCAAACAGG
rnacentral:rRNA from 1 species